GCCUAUGGCCAUGCCACCCUGAACAAGCCAGAUCCCAUUUGAUCUCAGAAGCUAAGCAGAGUUGGGCCUGGUUAGUACUUAGAUGGGAGACCACCUAGGAAGACCAGGCACUGUAAGCA
rnacentral:rRNA from 1 species